rnacentral:tRNA from 1 species
GAGAACGUGGUGUAACUGGAUAACACAUCGGUCUACGAAACCGUUCGCGUAGCGUGGCGUAGCCAAAAGUGAAGGUUCAAGUCCUUCCGUUCUCG